rnacentral:rRNA from 1 species
AACGGAACUUCGGGUUUAGUGGCGGACGGGUGAGUACGCGUGAGAUCUGCCUCUAGGUCGGGGACAACAACUGGAAACGGUUGCUAAUACCCCGAUGUGCAGCAAUGUGAAAGAUUUAUUGCCUAGAGAUGAGCUCGCGUCUGAUUAGCUAGUAGGUGUGGUAAUGGCGCACCUAGGCGACGAUCAGUAACUGGUCUGAGAGGAUGACCAGUCACACUGGGACUGAGACACGGCCCAGACUCCUACGGGAGGCAGCAGUGGGGAAUUUUCCGCGAUGGGCGAAAGCCUGACGGAGCAAUACCGCGUGAGGGACGAAGGCUUUUGGGUCGUAAACCUCUUUUCCCUGAGAAGAAGAUCUGACGGUAUCAGGGGAAUCAGCAUCGGCUAACUUCGUGCCAGCAGCCGCGGUAAUACGAGGGAUGCAAGCGUUAUCCGGAAUUAUUGGGCGUAAAGCGUCCGCAGGUGGCUCUGUAAGUCUGUCGUUAAAGAAUGGGGCUCAACCCCAUACAGGCGAUGGAAACUACAAGGCUAGAGUUUGGUAGGGGUCACGGGAAUUCUUAGUGUAGCGGUGAAAUGCGUAGAUAUUAAGAAGAACACCAGCGGCGAAAGCGCGUG